rnacentral:rRNA from 1 species
UGGGGAAUAUUGCGCAAUGGGGGGAACCCUGACGCAGCCAUGCCGCGUGAAUGAAGAAGGCCUUAGGGUUGUAAAGUUCUUUCGGUAUUGAGGAAGGUUGAUGUGUUAAUAGCACAUCAAAUUGACGUUAAAUACAGAAGAAGCACCGGCUAACUCCGUGCCAGCAGCCGCGGUAAUACGGAGGGUGCGAGCGUUAAUCGGAAUAACUGGGCGUAAAGGGCACGCAGGCGGUUAUUUAAGUGAGGUGUGAAAGCCCCGGGCUUAACCUGGGAAUUGCAUUUCAGACUGGGUAACUAGAGUACUUUAGGGAGGGGUAGAAUUCCACGUGUAGCGGUGAAAUGCGUAGAGAUGUGGAGAAAUACCGAAGGCGAAGGCAGCCCCUUGGGAAUGUACUGACGCUCAUGUGCGAAAGCGUGGGGAGCAAACAGGAUUAGAUACCCUGGUAGUCCACGCUGUAAACGCUGUCGAUUUGGGGGUUGGGGUUUAACUCUGGCGCCCGUAGCUAACGUGAUAAAUCGACCGCCUGGGGAGUACGGCCGCAAGGUUA